rnacentral:rRNA from 1 species
UACAGAGGUCUCAAGCGUUGUUCGGAUUCAUUGGGCGUAAAGGGUGCGUAGGUGGCGGGGUAAGUCGGAUGUGAAAUCUCAGGGCUCAACCCUGAAACUGCAUUCGAUACUGCCUUGCUCGAGGACUGGAGAGGAGAUUGGAAUUCACGGUGUAGCAGUGAAAUGCGCAGAUAUCAGGAGGAACACCGGUGGCGAAGGCGGGUCUCUGGGCCGAUACUGACGCUGAGGAGCGAAAGCGUGGGGAGCGAACAGG